rnacentral:rRNA from 1 species
CCUACGGGCGGCAGCAGUGGGGAAUAUUGGACAAUGGGCGAAAGCCUGAUCCAGCCAUGCCGCGUGUGUGAAGAAGGCCUUCGGGUUGUAAAGCACUUUCAGUGGGGAAGAAAGCCUUGGGGCUAAUACCCUCGAGGAAGGACAUCACCCACAGAAGAAGCACCGGCUAACUCCGUGCCAGCAGCCGCGGUAAUACGGAGGGUGCGAGCGUUAAUCGGAAUUACUGGGCGUAAAGCGCGCGUAGGCGGUCUGAUAAGCCGGGUGUGAAAGCCCCGGGCUCAACCUGGGAACGGCAUCCGGAACUGUCAGGCUAGAGUGCAGGAGAGGAAGGUAGAAUUCCCGGUGUAGCGGUGAAAUGCGUAGAGAUCGGGAGGAAUACCAGUGGCGAAGGCGGCCUUCUGGACUGACACUGACGCUGAGGUGCGAAAGCGUGGGUAGCAAACAGGAUUAGAUACCCGGGUAGUC